AAGUGAACUGGUGGUUAAAAAGAGCCUGGCACCUGCCCCCCUCCCUUUUGCUUCCUCUCUCACCAUGUGGUCAGUUCACACCAGCCUUUCCUUGCCUUGUACUGUGAGUGGAAGCAGCCUGAGGGUGUCAUCAGAAGCAGAUGUUGGUACCAGGCUUCUUAUAGUUUGUAGAACUGUGAACCAAAGAAACCUCGUUUCUUUAUAAAUUAUUCAGCUUCAGGUAUUCUUUUCUCACAACACAAAAUGAUCCAGGACAGUACCUAAAAGCUUCAAUUUGCCAUUUGAUUCUUUCUAUGAGAUGACUAGAUUUUUUGGGAGGACAGGUCUAUCUAUCUGGAAAGAAGCCGUUUGGAAUGGAAGCAGUAUGAAACAAGCAUAAUUUUCUUGGUUUAAGCCAACCUUAUUAUAAGCCCCUGAAUCUUACAACUUUAUUACAUUUCUGCAAAUAUCCAGAAGCUUAUGUAUUUAUUAUUCUUUCAGGCUCUUGAGUUUCUGCUUUCAAGUGACCCUCAGAAAUUCCUCCAUUCACUGCAGAGGUUCUGUUUCUCCUUGCUUUGUUCUGACUUUACGGCAGAACUAAGCUAAUGAGUUAGUUACUAUGGGUUAUCACUUGGAUUUGAAGAACCAUCAUUUCUAGGCAUUGCUGCUCAGAGUGACCUUGCCAUCGUAUCCCCUUUUGGAGACACAAGCCAGGAAGGAAGCUCUUCAGUGCAGCUGUGAAUAGAGAAAUGCUGGCUGAGGUUUUGGAGACACUGGGUGAUCAUUCCCAGUGAAAUUUUUAGAUCCCUGGGGACAUGAGCUGCUUUGUCUUUUCCAAGGCUGAAAAAGUUUUGGAAGCCCUCCUAAGCAGGUGCCAGACCCUUUUUUGGCCAGAGACAGGAUCUUACGCUGUUGCCCAGGCUGGAGUGCAAUAGUGUCAUCAUGGCUCACUGUAGCCUGGAACUGCUGGGCUCAAGGGAUCCUCCCAGCUCAGCCUCCCAAGUAGCUAGGAGUAAAGUCUGGAGAACACUUUUUCUUUUGAGCUGUUUACAACCUUUAGCAAUUGAGUAGAGUGUACUCUUGUCAAUAGAAUUUGAAGCACAUUUCUCUCUCUGCCUGAUUUCUGUAGAAUUUGUAAACUAUUUGUGAAUAUUCUUAAUUUAUGGCAAUAUGGUUGCUUACAUAAGUUCAAUAAUAAUCUGUUUUCUUUUACAAUGAGACACAGUUGGAGGAACUGGUUAUUUUCCCAGGGCUUUGACUGAAAUGGCCUUGUGAAUGGUUCCAGGAAAGCCAAUUUUGGAGACCCUAUGUGGAUGAUGAUGCUUGCUGUACUUUCUGUGGGUAAUCGGGCCAAGUAUAUGGGACUGAAGCUAAUUUUGCAGGUGAGAAAAUGGAGGUCCAGAGAGAAAAGUGACUCACCCAAGCUGAAAACAGUUGCAGGAAGAAAAGCCAGGACAGAACUGGGCUGUUAGAAACCUUGGAGUACACUAAAGAUGAGGAACUGAGUCACCGCAAUGCCAAAUGUAACACGCUGUGGGUCAAAAUUUGGAUGGUUGCGUUGGAAAUUAUUCUGAAGCCACAGACAGGGCUAAAAGAGUCUAGAAUGUCCUACUAGCUGUUGGAACCUGCUGGAGUUCUAAAGGCAUGCGAUGUCCUGAAUGUGCUUGACCAAUGGACACAGCAGGUAUUUGAAGAGUUUUGAUGCUUCCUUUCUGUUUUCAGUGCUAUUUUUUUGCUUUAUUUCUUUUAAAAAACUUUCCCCACAGAGGCUAUUUAUUACACAGCAGCAGCCAGCAUGCACCAAGCAGAACUGCUUUUCAUAAUAAACCUAUUUAUCUUCUGGCAUGUCAGAAAUUUCUCAAAUUGAUACUUAUAAUAAAUAUGAUUAAUAACACAUUGUA
rnacentral:lncRNA from 1 species